AGCCCCUCCACCCCCCUGCCCCGGGCACUGCGGGCGAACCCCCCCCCCCGCUAGAGCCGACCACUAACCAAGGCCCAGACAGCAAGUGUGGAACCACACUCGGGGACAAGUGCCGGCCUCAGAUUUCCCGACUCUGAAAUCAAGGUGAUAGGAACUCCUUCCUAACCUAAUUCACAGGCCCUUUGCAAAUCAACAGAAAAAAAGAAAAAAUGCAGGCGGCAGCUCUUUAUAAACAUGUGCGCGACUCUACCACUGUCAUCCAUACAUCAUGAUUAAUUAUUAAAGAGUGCAUAGAAAUCCAGUGACCGGAGAACUCUGAGGAGGUUUAAGCGCUUAUCUUCGUUUCACGCGGGAGGGGAGUAGAGCUUGGGGAUACGCACCUGCCCGGGAUCCCAGGCCCCCCCCCACCCCGGAGCUCCAAGGCUCCAGCCCAGGCCUGCUCUUUGCCACCGUCCGCUGGAGGAAGCCCACAAGGGCAAUGCAGCGGCAGACGAGUGACGGGACGUCAGAGAACUCUCUGGAAGAGAUACGGAGCACAGGCGGUCCUGUAGCCGGGAGUAGCGAAGGUAGAGAGGAUGCUCCUGAGGUGGAGGAAAGGAGGGCGGCCCAGCUCCCCAACGUCCUCAUCUUGCUGCUGCUGCUACCCAACCCCCCACCGCCACCCCCCACCCGGGUCGCAGGCCGCACGCAGUAGGCCUGGGCGUCCGUUCGCCCUUCUCCAUCUCUGCCACCGCCGCCUUCUGUCUCCUGUCUUUCUAGAAAAUGCAACAUCAGGGGACAGGGCUGGAUAUUUACUGUUACUUUCUUCUCUGAAAACAAGCAGGGGGAGCAAAGCCCUCACCAUUAAUUGCUUCUGACAAGUACUGAGGUCGUCAGAGCCUGGAGAGCUGGUGACAGCAGGGCCUGAUCAUCCAAGGAACCCAGGUGGGGAGGAGGGAAGCUGCCUCCGGUCCUGCACAGGGACCCAACUGCCAGGCAGUGGGGUGAGCGCCCCUCCUCCGCGGGAGGGAAGCAGGCUGCACACCAGGGAGCUGCCGGCACCCAGCCUGGAGGGCAGAGGGUGUGCGAGGGCCAGACUGUGGGCCGGGCACCGGGACAAGCUGCUGCUGUAGAGCCACAGAGCCGGGGGGAAUGUGCCGGAAGCAAUCAGGGCUGUUGAGAAGCAAGAGACUUAGUGGCACAUCCCUCUGCCAAUCGGCUCACAGGGCUUCGCAGGCAUCAGAUAAUUAGUCCCAACAAGUUCACUGUGAAUAAAGUAUUAAUAGACCUCCACUUACCAACCGGGUAGGGAGUGGGGCAGCAUGAGGCGGCCCGGCCAGGGAUCAAAAUAGCAACCUCACAGCAGCGCCAGCAAGAAAAAGAGAGCCAAGAAAUGAGACAUCAAAUCCCAAGUGGGAGUAACCGGUCCAAAGCCUUUCAGUCCAAACCAACAGAACCAACAUACAAACAGAUGUACGAACCUUCAUGCAAGCCCUACAGGGCUUAGGGGGGCAGCCAUGGGCCCCCAGCGAUCCCCGGCUGCUGCGCCCUGGCCCCCCGGCCCCACUCACCUAAACUGAGCUUCCAACUAUUUGAAGGCCUCGUUCUCUUGCUCGUUUCACUCUUUCAAACCAACGGCUCCUUCCGGGAUGAGCCCUCACCAACCUCCGUGACCCUAAGUUUCUAUGACCAAUUUUGGCCUAUCCUCUGGGGCUUCCCUUGGAUGCUCCCUCCAUCUGGGUCAUAGGCGCCCCCCAACACGCCGCUCUUUCCCACCACGCUCCGUCUCACCGUGUUGCCACUGUCUACUGGUACCUCCCACUAAAAUGGGCGAGCAGGAGCCCUCGUCUGUGGGGCCCAACAGUUUAUCCUGAGAACAAUGCCUGGCCCAUACCGGGAUCUCGAUAAAUGCGUGUUGAGUAUCUCACUGGAGACACACUCCUUGCCUUAAGGAAGCCUUCAGCGGAGUGAGACAGACACACACAGUCCAAGGGAAGGAGAAGGGGUUGAGCAUCAAGUAGGAACAGAGUCAGCAAGCUCUGACAUGGCAAACCCGGGCGUUGCGGUGAAGGCCCUGCACAUGCCACCGCUUCGGAGUUGAGUCCAGUUCCAACAGAUUCUUUCGUGCUAGAGAGCUUCCCCAGGUGUCGGGGUGGGCGACAUGCGUCCAUGGGGAGCCCCCUUUCCACCCCCAUCCCAGAGAUUUGCUCGUCAGUUUGGGGCAGAUAAAGACCAUCCGGAUUCAUCUACCCCGUCCUCUGUCUUGAAGGCGGAACUAUGACUCUGCACCUCGCGCAGAUAAAGAAUGGUUUGUUUCCCCAGAGAGACUGCUCCGUGUGACGGAGAGGACGUCCGCGGCGAUGGAAUGCAGUAUGCUGGAGAGAGCAUACGUUUUGGAAUGAAAAUGACCUUGGCUCCAGUCCCAGCUCUGCGAUUUCCUAGCGGUGUGAUUUGGACCAAGCUGGAGUCUCUCUGAGCCCUACCCUUAGCAUCGCCGGCAAGCUGUGUAGACAGUAUCGCAUUGUAGGCUUGGGCCUCACUGAUUCUUGUCCAUGGCAUAUGAAGAAGGAUUCCAUACCCUGUGUCCACCACCUUCUAGCUGUGCGCUCCUAAGAAGGUUGUCUGGUCACUCUGAGCGUCAGGUCACUCUGUCGUCAUCUGUAAGAUGGGACCAUCGAAUCUCCUUGCGCACACGGCGUAGAGGCUCAAUGAGGUCAUAUACUAAGGGGGCACCCCUUAGGCACCUCUCACGUGUGCUCUGGGCCAGCUGGCGGCUCCCGGGAACCCACAACGCCCUGCCUUUUCCUAGAGACACUGAGAUCCACAGGCUCAGAUGCAAGUCUGAAACCAAUAAAGACCCAUGAGUUCCUCGGCUUGGAAACUCCUCUUUGUGUCUCAUUUACCGGGGAAGAGAGACAGCGUUGAACAAGAACACUCACGAACGUGGCAUUUUCAGUGAUCCCAUAAAAUCCCAUGGGGAUUGGUCUAUCCCAAACUGGAAUUCCCUGGGUGGGAGGAGAGGGAGGUGGGACGAAACUGGGACACACACAUUCUGCAGACAGUAGCUGUAUGUGAUUCUCAACAGGGAGGAGAGACGCUUUGCAGAAAACGUCAGAGCCACAGGCGUUUUCGCCCAGAGGAAGAUAGCGCAGUUGGCUUGGGAGCUCCUGGCCUUCACGCUCACCGACGUGCUAACACUCCAUUUCCCACAGGCCAGUGCGGUUUGUCACAUUGCUAUCGACGUGAUUCUCUUUAAUCGUUUUUUUCCCUUAAUGAUAGUUUAAAAAAACACACACACAAAGAAACUGAAUUUCCUGUAAGCCGACCUGCUAUCAGUUUUAGGCAGUGGCAAAAACUCACAUGAACAGGCUAAACAUGGAGCACGUGGGGGCUGAAUUCCGUAUCAGAAGUAGACUUCACCGUCCAUAUGCACAAAGAACAGCAAAUCAUCCCUCUAACGAGGGAAGCUUGGUUGGUGAGAUUACCUCUUUGUAAGAGGAAGAAGAAUAUCCUAUCAUUUACCAAGGAGGAGAGCAUUGUACAAGGGUCUGGGUAAACCUUAGCAGCCCUGCAGGAAAGUUCUGCAUGAGAAUGAAAGGAAGGAACAAAAGGAAAAUACCUCCAAGAGGUGUGAUCUUAUACAUUCUAUUUUGGUAGCUAGAUAACGAGGAGGCAUAACAAAAAUACGGGAAAGCUUAAGUAAAAGAUGAGGCUCGGGAGCUCCUGCAUGCAGACAUUCAAAUCUAAUUCUCACAUCUUAGUCUGUGGUCCUUUCAAUGUAGAGGCGCUAAGAAUGACAGCAAAGACAGCAAGAACAGAAUUCUUGUUACCUUGUGAUUUUUGUGCUUAAUUUCAGGGUUUUGUUUGUUUGUUUGGUUGGUUGGUUUUGUUUUUCGGUGAGCUCUUUUGGUCGGAUUGAUUAAUUGAUCAGCAGAAAAUAGAAAGCAAACCGGUUCUCUUAGACCCGUUUGGCGUGUUGUGGGAGGUGUGAUGUUCUCAAGGCGUUUUCCACGCGGCCUCGCACUAUGAGCAUUAGCUAGAUGGGGACUUGGGCCACUGGAGAACUUAAAAAUAUUACAUAGUCAAUGAAAAGAAAAGAAUUUUUCCUUAUCUUAAAAAUGAGAGGCCUAGACCAAUGUUACCGCAAGUCCCUCCAGGGUCUGAAAUUCUAUGUCUCUCUGAUUCCUGGAGACAGAUUGUAAGGAGCAUUUCAGGAGGGAAAUACCAAAUACCAAUGACAUACUUUUGUCUCCCACUUAGCACAGACACCUGGUAUUUGUUUAUUGUGUGCAUUUCCACAACACUUUCUGAUUUAAUUCAAUACGGAGUUUUCCUGGCUGAGAGGCCGAGGACACUCCAAGCAGCUAGUUUAAUGGUUCGCAUUUCAUCGAGGAGGGGCAGGGGCGCACAGAAUUUCAGACAGCCAAGGAAAGGAAGGAGAACACCACCCCCAAUUCAAAGGGUCCCGUUUAUCCUGACAUUGUCAAAAGUGUGAUGCAUUCCAAGUGUGGGGUCAUAGGUCUGAGGUUGUGUCCAGGACGCCCCAAGUGCCCUUGGCACAGGCCCCAUGGUGCCACCACCUUUGCAGGGGAAGCCGAGGAGGCCCAGAUUGAUCACCAGAGGAAAGCGCCGGGAGGAAGCGUCGGGCCUGCGGGAUCCUAGGGCACAUCCGUGUGUUCAAGGCCGGGCUACCUGUUGAAGCUGACACCCCGAUGUGGCACACAGCCCGGGUCUGGAAGUGGGGUGCCCUGCUCCAACGUGGUAGAUGGGGAACGGCGCUUGCAGCCUGCAAUGCCUGAACCUGCCACUUUCUUACCACGAGACUUUAAGCGAGUUGAAUAUGUUUUCUGCGUUGAAACUUCCUAACGUGUGAAACAAGGGAGUGAUGAUGGGCACCUCAAGAUGUUUUGGGGAGACUAGAGAGGACGAUAGAUGUAUGGUCACUUGGCAUCCCUGAGCCUGGGACAGAGUCUGAGCUCCCAGUGAAUAGCAGUCCUCCCGAACCAUCCUUAAGGUUUUAUGGAAUGACACACACAGACACACACAUGCACACGCACACACACAUACAGGGCAGACUCUGCAGGUCUCAACACCUGGAGCUUCCACGUUGACGGCCACUGCCUGCACGUGAACUGAAAACACGAAGGUCGGUGGGCCCUCAACAUGCUAGAGAAAAACUUUUAGGAGGACUGGAUGGUAGGCAGAUAGGAUGUCAUCAGAAACUGAACCUUCGGGGUUGUUGCCGCUAGGACUAACAUUCUCCGCCCUGCGCAGUAUGACCACACUACGGAAAUGUUCCAGAAACUCUUACGGAUGUAAGAUGGCCAUCGGGGCUACACCUCACGUGAGGCGAGUGCACACUGAUAUACUUUCUGGAAUCCGGAAUGGCUUCCUCAGUCAUUGGCUUGUGUAUGAUCCACUCUACUGAACUAGGUGAGCGCUCCCCAUGCGCCGGGCAGCCCCCUGCCCGCGGGGGAUGUCGGGAGGAAAGCACAAACCUAGCUCCAUAGUGUGACGUGUUUGGGUUGGACCCCCCCACCGCCCCGCCCCGUGCACCCCCAGCUGCCUGCAGACUGUGAUGUUCAUCUGGGGACAGGGUCUUUGAGCCCAGGGCCCCUCCCAAGGGCAGAGUGCUGCUUCCUAGCAAGUCCCUCCCUGCAUUAACACUCCGAUCUAUUGCUUCACCUCUUCUUAGAUGCUCUUGUCUCUCAGCUCUUACACCGCUUGCUGGGAUAUUUAGGAUCAGUGAUAAAUGGCAAGUUGAAGUGCUCUAUAAAGCAGCUGUAGGGCAUCUGAACUGAAAAAGAAAAGGUGGAAGAUAAAGCAAUUUGCUAGUAGAGUAACAAGAAAAGAUCUAACAGCCCAGAACAUCAUGCAAAUUGCAGUUAUUUCUUAUCAGACAGUAUUGUAUAGGAUUAUUGACUAACUGAAAUAUGUCGCUUCCAGCUCCAUGAAGUGGUAUAGUGAUGAGGCGUACAUCAGAAUGUGGGUUUUCCAUAUACAGAACUCUGCUUUUAUCCAGAACUCCUGGGGGCACCCGGGAGGCCCUGUCGAUUGAGCGUCCAACUCUUGAUUUCGGCUCAGGUCAUGAUCUCAGGGUUGUGGGAUCCAGCCCUGCGCCCGGCUUGGUGCUCAGUGCAGAGGCUGCUUGAGAAAUUCUCUCUCCCUCUCCCUCUGCCCCUCCCUGCUGUGCGUUCUCUCUCUCUCUCUCAAGAAAAGAAGAAACAAAAAAAGAAAGAAAAAGAAAGAAAGAAGGAAAGUCUUUAAACAGUACUCCCUGUCGUGGAAUUGUCUGUGUGCUUCUGACUCCGCCCCCAGGGUCACACGACAGGCUGGGCCAUCUCUCUUCAGCCAAGCAGGGAAAUGCUGGGGUGCAGAGUGGAAGUCGAGAGAAAGGAUGCCGGGAGCUGGGGGUGGCUUGCAGGAGUGGCAGGUAAGCCAGGUCUGAACAUGCAGGAUCACACGCCCAGAACACACAUUUCUUAUUUUACCAAACUCACAAAUAUACAUCGAUUUGUUCCCUUCCACGGCCUCAAUGCAUUUCUUGUUAAAAAACAAAACAAAACAAAACAAAACAUCUCCUCGUGAAAGCCUUUGACAAAAUAGCCAGGCACAAAGGAACGAGUGGGACACGGAGAAGCCAAGUCUCGAUAAAGUGGUGAGUUGGCAGGGGGUGGAGGAAAUGUUAUCGCUUCCACUCCUUGUUGGAAAAUUAAGGGCCUUCCUUUAAAUCAAAAUUUCCCUUUGCUCUUAAUACGACGACAGUCUAGAACACUCGGUCUGCUGCUGAGAUAGUGGCUUCUCGCUGGGCUAGGAUUAUUCAAGAGCCCUGCGUUUAAGCUCAGACAGCUGCCAGGGGUUUCAAGGAGGGCUCGACGGAGCAAGAGCUGCAAGCGGCUAUUGCCACGCAAGGAAAUCAAGUUUGUUGACUUUCGUGACCAUCCUUUUUAUGUUACUCUAGGUGUUGUCACCGAGCAGACUCAAGCCAGCACCUUCUCUCAGGCAACUAAGUGAACAGGAAGAUUGGGGAGGGGUUAAAAGGGAAGAAAGAGUCCUAAGAACAAGCUGGAAAAAAGAACAGGCCUCUGGACUCUGGAGGGACUUGGAAGGUGGUACGAGUGGUGCAGGUGAGCAAGCGUAGACACCCGAGAGCAAGCCCGGGCGGCGGGGACCUGCGGGUCAGCCCCCCACCUACCAAACCCGACCUGCAGGUCCUUCCGAGGCCUCAGGAGCUGAGAACUGCUCCUCACACGCGCCUCAGUGUUCCGUCUCAUGAAGCCUCUCCAUGCAAGGCCGAGAUUGUAGUAACGUGAGGACUUAUGUUUUUUCCCUUGCAGACCUGGAGUUCGGAAGACAGAAUUGGGGUCUGUGUGUGUGCGUCUGUGUGUGUGUAUUUUGCAGAAACUUAAAAAAAAAAUUAAUUAGUAAAAGUUCUUCUUGGGCUUUAAAUAAUUCCUCAAGGGAGCUGCUAAGGCAGAAGCCAGAGAGAGAUGGUCUCCCUCCUUCUGUAGGAAGAGGGAUCCCGUUUCCAUAAAAAUAGGACCACUUACCCUUCCUGGAGGCCCUGACAGCCUCAGGAGUACUGGGUUGUGUAGGGGGAAAUGGGCAGUCCCACUGCAAGCUGAGCUUUCUCAGCAUAAAUGGAAUAUUCCGAGAAGGGACAAUCUUAUGAGUGUGAAAUUGUAAGACCACGGGUGAGAUCCACAAUACACGUAAGUACCAUCUUUACUUCUUCCACGUAUCAGGUCUUCAAAAAGCACACACUAAAAUUAAUAGGAUUUUAACUGCUACCUACGUGAUAUCCAAACACCUAUAAGACACUCUUAUACGCAGAAAGACACACUCAAAGCCAUAUUCAGAUCCAAAGAAAGUUUACGCUCCCCUAUGCGCUAUCUGCGAUGUCCACAGCUACAGGCCUAGCUAGUAAGAGCUCCCAGAAUCAUCCGUUCAUAUGUUCAUUGCUGGGAAAUUUUCAUGGGUUGAAGUGUAUCUUCCAAAAAGGUAUGUUAAAGCCUUAGCCCCCAGUACCUGUGAAUGUGACCUUAUUUGGCUUUCGGGUUGUGGCAGAUACAGUUAGUCCAGAUGAGGCCAUUUGGGAGUAGGGCGGGUCCCCAAUACGAGCAGCCUGGUGCCCUUAGAAGAAGAGAAGAAACGCAGAGACAGAGUUGCAGAGAUUGAAGUGAAGCAUCUGUGAGCCCAGAAACACCAAAAAUCUUUGAUCUAACACUAGGAAACUAGAUACAGACAGGGAAAAGGAUCUGCCCUACAGGUUUCAGAGGCAGCAGGGCCUUGCCAACACCAUGAUUCUGAAUUUCUAGCAUCCAAAACUGUGAGAUAAUAAAGGUGUGUGGUUUUAAGGCACACAGCUAGUGGCGCUUUGUUAUGGCGGACGGAGGAAAUGGAUCCAACCCAGAAACGCCCGUUUGAUUAAGGUGAGUAGCCCCCGUGUUCCAGAAGCACGGACUCCAGCUGACGGUGGCCCCCACACUGCUGCUCCACAUGGAGUCACGGAGCUUUUGAAAAGAAUUAGUCAAGUUGAACCCCAACUUUACGGUUUCUCUUGGAAUUCCCACCUCAAAUCCUACACAAUACAGCUGGAGAGAUAAAAAGGAAAACACAAUUCAGCUGAAAAGCUUAAGACCUCCUCUUUGGCAGAAGCUCUGGGCAUCAUUUAUUUUAAUUCUCCUUGGGACACCUGACUUAGGUUUUUGUCUUUCAGAGUUGUAUCUCCUGCCCCGAUGGUCAGAGAGGCAGCUAUGAUUUUAGUUGUCCCAAGACCAUGUCUGGGUCGGGCCACGGUGGGUAAUUAAAUUGAUUUCCUGACAAAGCACCCUUCAGCCUCAGAGCGAGCUCCUUGACAUAAUGCGCACCCUGUCCAGGCAAGGAGGCCCAGGGAAAUUGGACCAACUCUCAGCAGUCAACCUGGAUUUUCCCAACUGAGGAGUUCUUUCUUUUUUUUCUCAAAAAAUAUACAUUCCUUGCACAACCAGGAUCAUUUGGAACAGAAGUUCUCAGACUUUGGGAUUCAAUAGGCCAGUAAAAUUUAAAAGGAACAAAAAAGGUAGAAUUAGGCGGCAAAUCUUUUAUUUCACCGAGUAAAAUGUCUAUGAUCUCUUAUCAUUAAUCCUUAAAAAUAAAGGGAGCAUUUUUUUACGUCACAAUGAUGCGGGGGGUAAAACCUCAGUUUGAAGGAGAGUUGUUCACAUGACGGGACGUCAGGGCUAUUCCUCUACAGAUUGGGGCUUCGUUAGGGACCAGCAGCAGUGCCUGCAUUGGCGUUUAGAAACCAGUGACCUCGAGAACGUUACCACUACCCACUUGCUCUGCCCACACGAACACCGAUAGGAGCUCCAGCCCCACCAGGAGAACGACAACUUGAGAUUAAUAAACCAUGGUCGAAAACAUUUUUUCUCUCUGCUGGACACCAGUGUGUUGGGAGCUGAAGAUGUGCUCAUUUGCCAAGUAUGACUUGCACCAAGCAAAGCGCCCACCACAGGGUGAUUAAUAUAUAUCUCUUGAUCAAAAGAAGAAAGGAACUGUGUGAAUAAUUGUUGACCGUGUUCUCAUUUCCUACCUUGACAUCCAUGUCAUUAAACUACCCAAGCUAUUACUUUUUUUUUUUUAAUCUCUCGGUCACAUCUGUCAUUCUGAGAUGUGUAGGUUGUCCACAUCCCCGCUAAAGUACGGUCAAACAGAAAACAAAAAAGAAGAGGUAUGGUUAGAGAAUGAAUAGUGGCCAAAGGCUCAGAGAUAAGAUUAAGCCCAAGAUUCAGUGUAAAGAAUGACUCCCAAAAAUGAGAAACAAUUUUUUUGGAAGAAUACACAUCUUGGAAUCAAGAAUCUGUUACAGCAGAAGUGUUAUAAAUGACAAUUAUGUUAGAAAACUUACCCAGAAACGUCAACAUGAUUAGGAGGGUAUUUAUUAAUAAAAUAUAGGUGGCUCUUGAUGCCUCCCACAAUGCAGGCCUGAAGAACAAAUUCUGACCCUGGCAAGUCUAACAUACUACACAAAUAUUCAUUUUGAAGCGAGGAGGAGAAAUAACUUGGCGGUGAUGUUCGCUGUGUUUCUAGUGUCAGCUGAGAGCUCACUGCUGGAGUUCCCUCUACAGUUUGCAGGAAAUUCCUACUGCGUGCCGCUCAUGGCUGUUGCAAACCGUACCCUUCAUCAUCUAUCCUGCCCACGUCUUACUAGUAAGAGUGAAGUCAUUUCAGGGGACCUCAUUCCAUCUCUGUCCCCAGGGCCCCUCCUCCAUUCCUCCCUUGCUCAUGGCCCAUCCUUCUAGAUCUUACAGGAUCUUGGUCCUUUCCCACUUGUAGACCUUCAGUUUCUCCCACUCACCUUUAUUUCUACCUCUAAACAUGCUCAUGUCCAAUUCCUUCUUCACAAAGAAAAAACAACAACAGAUGAAGAACACCAGAGACUUUCUUUCCUUCAUUUUUCUACCUUAGUUUUCUUAAAAGAAUAUUAAUGCCUUUACCCUCACUCCCAUUCACCCCUUAAUCCCUAGCAUCCUGGCCUGUGGAACCAUUCUAAAUCCAUGAGGACUUCCUAAUUAUCAAAUCAAGAAAGCUUUCCCUUAUAUCCCAUUAUUCUUAAUCCCUACAUUGCCUGACCUUGAUCAUUCCCUUUCUUGAGAUACUCUUCUCCCAAGAUCCUGAGGCCAUUAGACCAUCUAGUUUAUUUAUUUUUCUGGCUUCUUUAACAGAUCUCUCCAUCCACCUCUUCCCAGUUGUCAUUGAUUUUUAGCCAUAACCCAAGAUUUUUGAAUGACCCCAUUUCAGUAGCUUUACUUACUUCCUUUGAACAGAAGAAUUCAAAUCUCAUGUUUUAGAUGUUUCCAAUUCUAUCAUCUAUCUAUCUAUCUACCUACCUAUCUUCUAUUUAUAUAUUUAUCAUCUGUCAUCUCCUGUAGGUAUUUUAAAUUCAUUCACUCCUUUACUUAAUCAGAAACAAAUUCUACUUCCUGGCAUCCUUAAUUCUGUUCAUUGCAACAUGCUCCAGAACCAUCUUCUCCUUGCCCCAGGCCAAGCCACACAGACUAAAAGCAUAUUACCUGGUCAUCUUUGACUCCUCUCUAUGCUUGGCCGCUUCUCAUCUUCAAAUUCUUGUCAAGUCCAGCCAUCAACUUUAACUCACUACUAACUCCCUAACCAGGACUGCACAGUUGCAAGCAACUUGUUCCCCCAUCCAAAAGUCCUACUUUCAUACUACUUUGCUUAUUUUAAAAGAAAUAAAAUGUUCAGAUAGAUCAACAGGAGGAAUGGACAAUCAUACAUAUUUAUAGCCAAUAAAAUGUCAUUUUUUUCUGAUAUAAAAGGACAAAAAAUUCUCUUUCCUUUAAAAAGUGUUUAAUGAAUCCAUUUCUUUAGAGAGGAGUGAAAAGCUACACCAACAAAAUACUACUACUAUAAAUAUGAGGGGCCAAUGAUUAUUGGAUUCACCUUUCUCAGUGUCAGUCUGGACUCGUAUUCUCUUCUCUCUGUCCCUAUGGGGAACCUCUGCUUCCUGAAGGAAACACCUGCUGUGUGUGCAUGUGUGUGCACAUGUGUGUGCACGUGUGUGUGCAUGUGUGUGCACACGAAGAGAGGACAGAGAUGGGGGCCUGCCUUCCUGGACACGUGAGUUCCUUCUGAGAUUAUUAGAAAGCCCCGAUUUUAGUGGUGGAUCCAAGCCUGUUCUCUAAUGUAUCUCUGGUAGCAAGAAACAUAAUUUUUUUGUUUGUUUCUUAAAAAAAUCCUGCCUAUCUUCUGCUUGACUGAUCCCCCAAUUCAGCGGUGAGGAAUAAAGGGGCACGUUGACUUUCACAUCCCAAACCCACCACUCACAGCGAUUCCCUGAGGUAUUAUCUUCAUUUCACAAAUGAGAAAACCGAGACUCACAGCCUUUAGGUAAGUUCGUGGCCCACCUCGUCAACAGCAGAUGGGGCAUCACAAUCCAAGCCUACUGGGCCCCGACGCCUGCGCGCUCACCCACUGAACUCCAGCGAGGGCGCUCAACCCUGGCUGACUCCACAGGGUCCCGGUCCUGAUCUUCUGACCCUGCCCCUGGCAGCCCAGGACUGGAGGAAGGGACUGAAGCGAGAACCCCCCCAACCCCCAACCUGAGCCCCCAGUUGUCGGGCAGGGAAUAAGCAAGCAACAGUGUCCCUCCUUAAAUCCAUUCACCUAGAGCAUUGCUGUGCCAUGAGAGUACGGUGUGACCCACUGGGAGCGGGUCCUUCCUCCUCGGGCCUAAGUUCUUGCCCCCGAAUGCCUGGCGCAGCUCUCUGUACGCACGGAGGGGCGGCCAGGACCCAGGGCCUGUGAGCUUCUCCUAAGCAACCGUGGGUGGUUUAGCACAAACGACCCUCCAAUCCAGCAUUAAUUUCCUGUCUUCUAGUCUGAGGGCUCCUGAUAAGCAGUUGUCUGGCUAAGGAGCCGAAGGAAAAGCAGGUUCCGGUCCUAGCAGAGUCCCUACUUGGUUCCCCACCGCCGCUGCGGCCCAGAGCUUAGGAGGAGG